AAGUUAUUUAUUUAUUCCCCAAACUAUUUAUUUAGAUAGCAAAUGAAUGCGUCCCUAAUCAAUUUUUUUGGCAUUCAAGUAGAACACCGUUAAACGUAAAAGACGAUUCGACUCAACUCUACUAGACUACGACCACCAUGGCAAGCUUAAUCUCUUUCAGCCGUUCAACCAACCUUUUCUACUACCCCAAAACUCCGUUUCAGGUAACUACUGUAAACAAAAUCCUCUUAACUUUCUUCUUUUCUUAAAUACCCUUUUGGUUUGGUAUUUUCCAAAAGGGUGUUGUUAGGUUUAGUAUUUUCGCUUGGGUGUUGUUCUGUAGUAUCUCUGUAUAUUUGUGGGUUUUUUAAACGGAUUAAGAACUAUUUUAUUAUAUGACACAGCAAUGCAAUGGAGGUUUGGUUAUUUUGAAUAUUUUCGAACAAAAUCAGAUUUUUAGCUUAAUUGACUUCAACCUUAAAAGUUUUGGACAAAAAAAGGGAUGGAUAUAUUAAGUAGAAUGGCAUUCCAUCACUCAUUGAACUACCUCUUCUUGUCGUUGUUAAUGUUAGCUCUUACAUUUUUCCCUACUGUUGAGGUUGAGGAAUUGAACGUGGAUGCUAAUUAUGUAUUUAGUUAAUAUUUUUAUAAGAGAUAAGAUGCAAUGUUGCAAUUAAUCAUUUAUGGGGAGAGUUAACAAGGCUUUGGUGCUAUUUUCUUUAUCAGAAAUAACUUAAGUAAAAAUGCUGAUAGGCAGCCCUUUUUUUUUUUUUUUUUUUUAUAUGAUAAGGCAAGUGUAUUAUUUUUAACUUGUGAAAGUAGAGUACAAAAUCACGAGGUCAUACCCUAGAAAACUAGGCUAGGAAUAUAUGUCAUCCCAGCACCAAUAAGUAAUCAAGAUUAGUGCUUAAUCCUAACCAUGUCAAUAAAAAAUAUUCGUAGAAAAACCCCAUGAGCGUUGGAACCAUCUAUUUUCGUUAGAUGGAACCAAGCCCCUACAUAAAUUUACUAGUGCACAAAUAGAAAAAACUAUGCCUCGAAUAACAACAUACUCAUGUUUAGGAGCCUCGCCAUGGGGUCCUAGUAUUACGUUCGUGCCAAAUAGCAUAAAUUGAAGCCGCAAACAUCAUACGAAUAGCAAUAGAUUGCAUAGACCUCCCAUGAAACUUCUCCAUCCAAGAAAGAGUAUCUGUCCAACUCCACUGAACCCAAGGUAGGUUACAUUUUGCACGCAAAGGAUGCCAAACACGCUCAGAAUAUGGGCAAGUAAAGAAAAGAUGAUCCAAAUCCUUCUCUGAAUAGCGACACAACACACAACGCAUAGACGGUAUCAAACCAAAGUGAAGAAGUUUGGUCUGUGUAUAGAGGCCACCUUGAAUUGCUAGCCAAAGGAUAAAUGGAUAACGAGGAAUACAUUUAGGGAACUAGAUAAUGUGAUACCAGGUCACCCUAGGGCAGUGAACUCGAAGAGACUCCCAAGCACUCUGAACAGAGAAGACUCCAUGCAUAUCAUUCACCCAUCGCAAGACAUCCUCUCUAGUACUAUUUGGUCGAAAAGUAUCAAGCGCAUCUCGCAUGAAGUUAGACAACACUGAGGAACGAGCUGAUGGCCAACUCCAAGUAUCACCCUCAAUAAUGUCAACCUUGUCUGCUCAAUCUAGAUUCAUGAAUGAUCCUUUCACCAAGAAUCUUCUCUAAAGGGCCAAGAGGAUGCCAAUUAUCAAACCUAAGCGAAGCACGUCUACCAUUACCAAUUUUGAAUUUCAUUUUGUCCCUCUCCAUAUCCCGAAGUCCAAGAAUCUUCCUCCAACUCCAAGAGCAAUCUCCAUGACAUUUCAAUUCCCAAAUGCUCCUGCCUCUAAGUAAGUAGCAUUGUGCCCAUGAAACCCACGGAGAGGAGGCUGAAUUCGUACAAAGGGACCAAAGGUGCUUUUAUUCCAAAUCUCCAUGCUCCGUAGACCCAAACCACCCUCAUCCUUAGGCAUACAGAUUUUUGCCCAUGCCACUUUAGUCCUAUCGGUGCUGAGGGCACAACCCUUCCACAAGAAGGCUCGUAGAGUAUCUUCCAUUGUUUGAUCACAGCUUUUGGUAAAAUAAAUAUAGAAGACCAAUAUACUUGAAUAGAAAUAGUACAUACUUAAUAAGCUGUAACAACUCUUCGCUCUAGUUAUAAUUCGAUCCACCAACACCUUACAAUCCAAAACUCGCAAAUUAGUAGAGAUGAGUGGGACACCAAGAUAAUGUACCAAUAACACGCCCUCCUUAUACCCAAAAAUAUCAAGCAACUGAUCCUUAAGAUAUGAAGAAAUACCGCUAGCAAAUAGAUUACUCUUAUCUGGAUUAGGAAUAAGUCCAGAUAGAGCUUUAAAUCGAUUAAGGCAAUCCUUAAUGAGAGAUACGAAACCAACCUCAACUCUACAAAAAAACCAUAAGAUCAUCAGCAAAACACAAGUCGGUGAUCUUUUCCUUCUCACAUCUCCAAUGGUAUUUGAAAUCCUGCUCAGCAACCAUCAAACCCAUUAAUCCCGAAAAGACCUCCAUUGCCAAGACAAACAAAUAAUGCGACAAAGGAUCUCCUCGUCUCAAACCUCUCCCACCAGCAAAGAAACUAUGCAACUCGCCAUUAAUUGAAAUUGAAAAUUGAGUGGAAGUGAUACACUCAGUUAUCCACUCAACAACCCCCUCCGGAAAACCAAGCACCCUUAGAACCGCAAGGAGUAAAUCCCAGCGAACAGAAUCAUAAGCUUUCAUGAGAUCAACUUUAAGAGCACAUCUAGGCACCAUUCAAAUUCUUUCAUCUUAGUGGGAUUAUUGAGCAUGGCUGCUGGAACAGUUUUUCUCUAUCUGAUUCUUCAUAAAUCGAUGUAAUUUGCAUUCUCAACACGAACUUAGUUGCGUGUAGGAAAUGAUGUUGGCAUGUGGCUACUUUUCCAACCCUCUAGGAAUGUGGAUGACUUCUGCAUUUCUUUAGUUUCAUUUUUCUCAUCUCAUCUCCAUUGCACUAUUAUUUUUUCCAAUCCUAUCUUUUUCUUUUUCUUUUUUUUUUUCUUUCUUUUUUUCCUUCUAAUGAAAAGAAAAUUUUAAAAAUGCACUGAGCAUCCUAGUAGUAUCUUAUUGCUAUUACAAAUAACAUGGUUGUGUUCGUGUUUAAGUUAAGAUACUUGUUUGACCAAAUUGCAUUGAAAAAUUAGACAAUCAAAUGUUUGAUACUUGGAUUUACACAUGUACCUGAGUCUGAGAAUUAGUCUUCUGUCAAUAUUUUGGUGCAGAUUUUCUGAAGCAAACUCAAAUAGAUAUUCAACAGCUUUAUCUAAUUUGGAAUAAAUGUUUAAGUUUAUUAUUCUACUCAAUUUUUUAAAUGUUAUUCUAGGUUAGAAACAGAAAUGCAACGAAAUAUACAGACUGUUUCUAGUCUUGCUACCUUGUGUCGUGGAUAUUAGAAUGGUAACAUGGGUGUGUUAUUAGUAUUUCUUGGUUUCUUUUCUUAUUGUCAUCUCCUGGUCGCAUUAAUGUGAAAUGGCAAAUUUAUGUUUGUCAAAGAAAAAAAUGGAAACAAAAAUAAUAUGCAUUUACCAGCAUCUCAUUCAAUUACUUUAUGCAUUUGAAUUUGUAAGUUCCAUCUGUUACAAACUAUAUAAUUGCAUAGUUAGGUUACUGUCAUUGGUUUGAUAGUUUUCUCGGCAAGUUUCAUCUACAGAUGCAGAAUACAUUUUUUAUGGUCACUGUAGAUGUGAUUUGUAACUAAUUGACUAUUUAUACUUGAUGUAUUCCCCAUCCUUUUAAAACUACUUACUUCUACAAACAUUCUUGUUCGACCACACACUUGUGCCAAAGAGAGUGAAUUAUCAUUUGAUGAUGUUGGUCAUCUUUUAUACUCACUGUUAUAUGGGAUUGCUGUAGGGAACAAACAUUAGGAGAUUGACAAGUGAAAGGUUUAUGUGCCCAUUAUCCAGAAGAACAGGUUCUUUCUUCAGUCUCUUGCUGGGUCCUACUAUGCACAAAAGAAGUUUCUUGAUUAUAUUAUAACCUGGAAUAAGCAUAAUGUCAUUUUUCAAAUCACGAGGGCUUCAGGCCAGAACAUUCAGAUUUGGACAGUACAUGAAGCAUUAAUAACAAAACUUCUAAAAUUAUUCAGCCAGAUUUCUGUGAGCUGAGAAUAUAAAAGGAAAUGUACGUCCUUAUUAUGUUCACGCUAAAGGAAAAGGAGAAAAAAAAAGUAGCAUCAAUAUUUUCUUUAACAAAUUAUAUUAUCUUCUAGCUAAGAGAUUACCGGAAACCAAAUGGAAGCUAAAUUGAUGAGUUAGUCGAGGCAUUUCUUCUAUAUGCUAGGGGUUUGCUUUUCUGCCUCACAUUAUGACUCACCAUUUACUUGUGGAACAGUUAGUAGUUAUUAUCAGGAUUUUAUUAUUUAGUUCAUAAGUUCUUCAAUUAAUAAGCGGGACAUUUUGGCAUGUUAUUUCUUUCUAUCAGCAAAGAUGUUAGGAAUUAGGAUUUGCUUUUUGAAUGAAUGGAACAAGAUCCAUCUAGCAAAGGGUAUAUGAUGUUAUGUCAAGACUAAUAUGGUUACCACUACUCUUCUAUUUUUAUUCAUCUUCCUCAGAGACGUCUUUCUCCUCUAGAUUUUACAAGAAAAAGAAUUGUACUAAUUGCAUAUAUAAUAUAUUCUCCUCAAAAGUUCUUGACAAUGAUAUACAGAAUGUAAUGAUGUGUUCCCUAAUCGGCUAAUCCAAUACGUUUAAUUUCUAAAUCACUUGAUGUUUAUUAAGAAAACAGUAACGAUUUUUGUACAUGUCAAAUCAAGGAAAUUGUUUUUCCCUCCUUUGCCAUAUACGUGUGUUUAAACAUGGACGUUCUGUUCUUUAAAAUGUUUCAGAGUGAAGUUGCAUGAUGAUAUACAGAAACCUUUUCCAUUUCCCUUGUAGGCAUGAAAACACCGAAGAUUUGUUAGUUGAAAAAUAAAUAAAUAAAUUGGCACAAUCUAGAGAACUGCGAUGCCAACUAAAUAACCUUAAAAAUGAUUGGAAGUGAACUCGCUCUGUAUCAAAAUUUUGUUUGGGUCUACAAAGUAGACUAACUCUAAAUGAUAUGUCAUGAAAUUAAUGUUAUAGCUUUGUGAUGCUCGAGUAAUCCUGUUUCUAGUACGUAUUAAUGGUUGACAACUUGAGUUUUUUUUUGCAGCAAGGAAGCUCAUCUUGUCAAACCAUUCUGGAGGAGACAUACUUUCUUCGAAUAAGAGCUGCUAUCUGGACAUCUUUGCUCCAACAAGACAAUUUUGCAAACCUCUUAUUUGCCAAUUUUUUGUAAGUUCUAACGCUCAUGUGCUAAUUUCUGGAUUCUGGAUGGGACCGGAUGUAGAAGAUGGAUGGGGUUUUGUAGAAGCAAUUGUGCAUCAAAUGUAUUAAUUCUUAUAAUUGAUCAUUUUACUUGCUUUUUUUCCUCCUGGUCUUAUUACAUGGUUAUGCAAAGAGUGGUUUGAUUUAUCUUGAAAUAUCUGAUAUCUU
rnacentral:lncRNA from 1 species